GAAAAAACAGGAAGAGACAUUGAUGUACAGGGAAUUCCUGUGGAGUCUACAUGCUGAUGUAUGCACUCAGCACCUGUACAUCAUGUCCAUUAACAUUCACAGAGGAGGAGGUGCCAUUGAUUCGCCAGUGGUGGUGCAUUCAGCUUAUGGAGAGGUUUUGCCUAGAAGGACCAAACUCGCAGUAUCCAGAGUUCCAGUCUUCUGAAGAAGACAUUAUCAUACCUCGGAAGUGCUUGGUACUGAUCCCACCAUCUCCAU